GAGAAAGAGAGAGAGAGAGAGAGUUUCCACAUUACAAAACGUAGUCCAGACCAGAAACAUAAAUAUCCCAUUUCAAAUUUUUGUAUUGAUCAUUUGAAAGUGGUCAGAAAAUUUUGAAAGAUCUUUUUGCAAGGUAUAUACAGUGAUUUGAUUUUAGGAAUUUCAAUUUGGGAGUCUUGAAUUCAAGUCCAAUUACAGUGUAGGAUUGGAGAUUUUCUCUGCACUCAGAUACAUACC
rnacentral:misc_RNA from 1 species